rnacentral:rRNA from 1 species
GAUGAACGCUGGCGGCGUGCCUAAUACAUGCAAGUCGAGCGAACGGACGAGAAGCUUGCUUCUCUGAUGUUAGCGGCGGACGGGUGAGUAACACGUGGAUAACCUACCUAUAAGACUGGGAUAACUUCGGGAAACCGGAGCUAAUACCGGAUGAUAUUUUGAACCGCAUGGUUCAAAAGUGAAAGACGGUCUUGCUGUCACUUAUAGAUGGAUCCGCGCUGCAUUAGCUAGUUGGUAAGGUAACGGCUUACCAAGGCAACGAUGCAUAGCCGACCUGAGAGGGGGCUCGGCCACACGGAACCGGAAAAAGGGCCAAACCCCUAAGGGAGGGAGCAGGAGGGGAUUUUUCGGAAUGGGCGAAAGCCCUACGGGGGAACCCCGCGGGAGGGAUGAAGGUCUUUGGAUUGGAAAACCGUUUUUUUAGGGAAAAAAAUAUUUGGAAAGAAACGUGGACACUCUGACGGGUCCCAAUCCGAAAGGCCCGGGCAACUUCGGG